UACAGAGGUCUCAAGCGUUGUUCGGAUUCAUUGGGCGUAAAGGGUGCGUAGGCGGCGCGGUAAGUCGGGUGUGAAAUCUCGGAGCUUAACUCCGAAACUGCAUUCGAUACUGCCGCGCUUGGGUACGGGAGAGGGGAGUGGAAUUCCCGGUGUAGCGGUGAAAUGCGUAGAGAUCGGGAGGAACACCAGCGACGAAGGUGGCUCCCUGGACCGUUACCGACGCUGAGGCACGAAAGCUAGGGGAGCAAACAGG
rnacentral:rRNA from 1 species